rnacentral:pre_miRNA from 1 species
UUCUGAUGAUUAUGGUGGUCAUAGUGGUGUUGGUGGUGGUGGUGGUGAUGAUGAUGAUGAUGAUCACCACCACCAUCACCACUAUUACCACCAACUGCA